rnacentral:lncRNA from 1 species
UGCAUGGCUGGGCAAGACAGAGCAUCCUUCCACAGCGGAGUGUGAGGGAUGUGGAGCAUGGUUUGUGCAUCUGAUGCCCGGCUGUCAUGUGUGGGACAGGCGAGAUCUCCAUCCAUGGUGGCUGAUGUACACUUGGAUCUUCCAGGAAGCUGGAGCAUGUAUGUGGUAUGUCCAAGGAGAUGCUGAUCUGAGCAGGUGUGGGAAGGUCUCCCCAUGCGUGUGCAUGUGUGGGGGUGAGGGCUUUUCCCAAACUCCUGUUGCAUCUGUAUGUGCUAAUGUGCAAAAUACCACCUGGGGUGCAGUUUUCCAUGGCUUCCAUGUCUGCACACGCCAUGUACCUGCAGGGCACCCAUACAUGCAGUGUGCAUCCACCUGCAGGGGUGCUGCAUGUAGUAGCUGUUGCUUCAGAGCGCGUGUGUGCCAUUCUUAAAACCCAUCGUGUUUUCACGUCGGUGACACGAUCCUGAGCGGCUGAGGUGCUGCUGCUCGUGUGUGCGUGCGUGUGCGUUCCCUAUAGCCGCUGCCGCUGUCACGCGUGGGCCGGCGCCGUGCCUGCCCCAUCCCUCUGGGCCCCCCCCGCUCCUCCCGCACCGGGAGAGCAGAGCUCGGCGCCGGCUCCAUCCAUGGCAGAGGCAGCUCCGCCGCUGGCAGCCGGCACAAGCAGAGCCCCGUUAGCCCGGCCCGCGGCGCAGCCAUCGCUCGCUGUUUAAAUGCCUUCUUCCCCCGGUGAUGCGGAAGCAGAGAAGGCAGCAAACCCCCCCCCGGCUGUGCGCUCCCUGCCCUGGCUGCUCCUGUGCGCGGCGGGGAGCGCUGCUUAGGGGACAGAGCAGCCGGGAGGGGUGACACGGGGCGGGGGACAGCGCGGAGGGGCUGCGGGUCGCGCCUCCACGGGGCAUGUCACGCGUGGGAGCGACCCUUCAGGAGCAGGUAUGUGUAUGUGUGCGUGUGCGUGUGACACAGUCGGUGCGUACGGCUCGGUGUCGCCCGCUCGGAGACGCGGCUGAGCUUGGAGGGGGAGCGGAGAGGGGCAGGAUGGAGGGAUCGCCCUCUUCUCGCUGCCCACCCGCGGGUGGGUGCCUCUGAGCCGGGGUGAGUGCGAGGGAGAUGGGGAGGGAGUGGGGAAAAAAUGCCCAUAUGGGGGGACGGGAGGGAGCGAAGCUGGGGGAGAGGUGCUCCCUAUCACCGCAUCACCCAUCAGUGGUGGUAGGGAGAGAGGUGCUCCCCAUCACCAUUUCCGUGUAUGCUUAUGUGUGUGCCGGGGAUCAGGAUGCCGAGUAGGUCCUGCAUGCAGGCUGGGUUGUAUGCUGUGCUUCAGUCCAGAACCCGCAAGGGGAGAGGAUUCAUGCAUUUUUUUUGUGUGUAUAUACGUGUGUGUGUGUCUCUGUGUGUGUUCAUCUCACUAUAUUAAUCUAUACAUAAACAUACAUCUG